rnacentral:rRNA from 1 species
AUUGGACCUGAUAUCAGGCAAGAUUACCCGCUGACUUAAGAUA